GAAAGAUUUUCUAAAACUAUCCAUUUGCGAUUUUGUGGUAUGUGAUGAUACCCUUUUAACACAUCGGGAUAUUUACAUUCAAAUUUCGUGUUAGAUGAUUGGAUACAACAUGCUUAAGAUAGCUCAAUAUUUUCCCACACUUGCUCACAGACUUGUUAAACGCUCACGUUUGCACAUCAGAAAAUCACCGGACCAUCAGUUUUUUAUUAAUGGGUGCUAGUGAUAAUAGCUCUAUAAACGGCCAGAACUCUAUCAGCAAGCGCGUUCUGUGUCGGAAGCGAGCAGCAAUUAACUCGAUAAUCGUCACAUGAAGACAGCUUUAGAGCCGCUUGCCAUGCAAUGAAAGAUUACUGUGUGAAAGUUUGGGUGGUGUCAUGCCAAGCAUUGGAUUGGAGCUGAUGACAGGAUCCUUCGACUAGUUCCCUGCUAGCAGAGGCCUCUUUUCUCUCAACCACCAUGAUAUUAAAGAUAAGACAAGUGUUCCAGUAAGCGUACGGAACGACACCCUAGAAGACGACGGACUUUCGUGUCACUAAGUUGGUGGCAUUCCCGAUAAACAUUUGCCAGCACGUGAGGGUCAAAAGGGUCACACUGCAGCCAGUAUCAUGGCUACAGAAAGUCUGGUCUACAGUAAAUAAGUCUGCCAUCAAUUAGAAGUAUUUAGCAGCCCUCAUACGCGGUGCGGGCUUUGUCUCCAUUAGCGCAAAGGGUGGCCCAGGUCACACGAAUGAUACAAGCCGUACAAAGCUAUAUUCCCCCUUAGUUCCCCCUAUCCCCCCCCCCCACCCCCCCGCACCAAAAAAAUGUCCUCUCUCUAAGGUACCUAUGUCUAAGCAGGGAGAAGCAAUCUACCCCUUCCUCGACGGGAAGUAUUUGGCAAGUAACUCAUGGAUCAAUAUAACUUGAUUAGAAGUUGCCAUAUCUAUAGGUAUACCUCUUCACUGCCGAUGGUGACAAUGUAUUGUUUUGCUUAUUUGAGUUCAGUUUUUUAAACAGAUUUCACGCUGGGAAAUAAUAGCCAUAAACAAGUUUAUUACGACAUACUAUGGUGUUCAUAAGCAAACGAAACAAUCCUCACGGAAAUGGUAACUUUAGGUAUUUGAAGCUCGUAGGAACACGAAUCAUUGCGUACUUAAUUUUUCUCCUUUUGCACAUAUUUUCUUUGAGAGCUCUCUUUCAGGUCUGUUUCAAUUUGAUUUUUCGCGGCAUUAAGCUCUAGCAAAUAAAUCAGAAUGUUAUUUC